rnacentral:rRNA from 1 species
AACGCGAAGAACCUUACCUAGACUUGACAUCCCUGGCAAAGCUAUAGAAAUAUAGUGGAGGUUACCCAGGUGACAGGUGGUGCAUGGUUGUCGUCAGCUCGUGUCGUGAGAUGUUCGGUUAAGUCCGCUAACGAGCGCAACCCUUAUCCUUAGUUGCUAACAUUUAGUUGAGAACCCUAAGGAGACUGCCGGUGACAAACCGGAGGAAGGUGGGGAUGACGUCAAAUCAUCAUGCCCCUUACGUCUAGGGCUACAGGCGUGCUAUAAUGGCCGAUACAAUGAGACGCAAUAUCGUGAGGUGGAGCAAAUCUAUAAAGUCGGUCUCAGUUCGGAUUGAAGUCUGCAACUCGACUUCAUGAAGCUAGAAUCGCUAGUAAUCCCAAAUCAGAAUGUUGGGGUGAAUACGUUCCCGGGUCUUGUACACACGC